rnacentral:rRNA from 1 species
UACGUAGGGUGCAAGCGUUGUCCGGAAUUAUUGGGCGUAAAGAGCUCGUAGGCGGUCUGUCGCGUCUGCUGUGAAAAUCCAGGGCUCAACCCUGGACCUGCAGUGGGUACGGGCAGACUAGAGUGCGGUAGGGGAGAUCGGAAUUCCUGGUGUAGCGGUGAAAUGCGCAGAUAUCAGGAGGAACACCGGUGGCGAAGGCGGAUCUCUGGGCCGUAACUGACGCUGAGGACCGAAAGCGUGGGGAGCGAACAGG